UACAGAGGGUGCAAGCGUUAAUCGGAAUUACUGGGCGUAAAGCGCGCGUAGGCGGUUUGUUAAGUUGGAUGUGAAAUCCCCGGGCUCAACCUGGGAACUGCAUUCAAAACUGACAAGCUAGAGUAUGGUAGAGGGUGGUGGAAUUUCCUGUGUAGCGGUGAAAUGCGUAGAUAUAGGAAGGAACACCAGUGGCGAAGGCGACCACCUGGACUGAUACUGACACUGAGGUGCGAAAGCGUGGGGAGCAAACAGG
rnacentral:rRNA from 1 species